rnacentral:rRNA from 1 species
GAUGAACGCUGGCGGCGUGCUUAACACAUGCAAGUCGAACGGGCCUGUCUUCUUUUUUGGGGGUGGGUUGAGUGGCGAACGGGUGAGUAUCACGUGAGUAACCUGCCCUUCGGUCCUGGAUAACCGCUUGAAAGGGCGGCUAAUACGGGGUGGUCCGGUUGGUCCGCAUGGGCUGGUCGGGAUAGAUUCACUGUUUUUGGUGUUUCGGCGGGGGAUGGGCUCGCGGCCUAUCAGCUUGUUGGUGGGGUGAUGGCCUACCAAGGCGGUGACGGGUAGCCGGCCUGGGCGGGUGGGCGGCCACACUGGGACUGGGAUACGGCCCAGGCUCCUGCGGGAGGCAGCAGUGGGGGGUAUUGCACAGUGGGCGGGAGCCUGAUGCAGCGACGUCGCGUGAGGGAUGGAGGCCUUCGGGUUGUGAACCUCUGUUUCCGGUGGUGAAGGCCCUGUCCGUGUGGUGGGGUUGACGGUAGCCGGGGAUGAAGCGCCGGCUAACUACGUG